CGCAACCAUAAAAGGGUGGUGAGAAAAGUUAUAAAAAGUUAAAAUAUAUAUAUAUAUUAAAAAAAAAAACAGAUCUCCUAUGCAAUAUGUUAGUAUGAUAAAGGCUCUCUUUCGUUACAUCCAAAGGUCAAAUUCACCCCAAUGCGGUACCUUGCCAUGUUAAUUCUUGGCCAAUUACAUCACUACUUUUCAAUUAUGCACAUGUCAAUUACGAACGGAUGUUCCCUCUUACAAGAGGACUAUGUCUUCUCGUUGCCAAGAACCUGACGUUUGUGAUCCUACAUGAUUCCAAUUGGUAACUCGAGUACCUCAUCCCUUCCCCAUUUUUUUCCAACACAACUUGUUUUUGUCUUGUUUCAUUUCAAGGGCGGGAGAAUUUAAGGUAUUUUAAAACUCUUUUCAGGCUUUACUCAUUGGUUGAUUAAUUUACACAGGAGUUUAUCUGAUAACAAUAUUGCAUUCUUAACUAAUGGAGUGUUUGGCAACCUGCGUCUGAAAACCUUGUCAUUAAAUUCAAACUCUAUCAAAUCUCUACCCGACGGAGUGUUUGCUAAUCUGAAAAGUCUGGGAUACUUAGAUUUAAGUCUAAAUGCUCUUACACACCUAACUAAGGGGGUAUUUGAGACACUGCAUGAGUUGCAAGUUCUGAACUUGUUUUCAAACAGGAUUGAAAACCUUAUCGCUGGUGUUUUUCCUCUUCCGAGCUUAGAAUAUCUGUAUGUUGAGAGCUAUUCUUUAAGCACGAGUUUGAUCUUUGUGAAAUAAAUCGACUUUUAUUUGGAAUUGGGAGUGACUUUCAUUUCGAAACGAUUGCCACUCAAGAAUGCCAAGAAUUUCUUUUUCUACAUACUAAUUCAUCUUAGCACAGUCCAGUUAUUUUUAUGUUAUAUAUUCAUAUGCA